rnacentral:rRNA from 2 species
AUUAGAGUUUGAUCGUGGCUCAGGAUGAACGCUGGCGGCGUGCCUAAUACAUGCAAGUCGAACGAGUUCUUGUUGAUGAUCGGUGCUUGCACCAAGAUUCAACAUGGAACGAGUGGCGGACGGGUGAGUAACACGUGGGUAACCUGCCCUUAAGUGGGGGAUAACAUUUGGAAACAGAUGCUAAUACCGCAUAGAUCCAAGAACCGCAUGGUUCUUGGCUGAAAGAUGGCGUAAGCUAUCGCUUUUGGAUGGACCCGCGGCGUAUUAGCUAGUUGGUGAGGUAAUGGCUCACCAAGGCGAUGAUACGUAGCCGAACUGAGAGGUUGAUCGGCCACAUUGGGACUGAGACACGGCCCAAACUCCUACGGGAGGCAGCAGUAGGGAAUCUUCCACAAUGGACGCAAGUCUGAUGGAGCAACGCCGCGUGAGUGAAGAAGGCUUUCGGGUCGUAAAACUCUGUUGUUGGAGAAGAAUGGUCGGCAGAGUAACUGUUGUCGGCGUGACGGUAUCCAACCAGAAAGCCACGGCUAACUACGUGCCAGCAGCCGCGGUAAUACGUAGGUGGCAAGCGUUAUCCGGAUUUAUUGGGCGUAAAGCGAGCGCAGGCGGUUUUUUAAGUCUGAUGUGAAAGCCCUCGGCUUAACCGAGGAAGCGCAUCGGAAACUGGGAAACUUGAGUGCAGAAGAGGACAGUGGAACUCCAUGUGUAGCGGUGAAAUGCGUAGAUAUAUGGAAGAACACCAGUGGCGAAGGCGGCUGUCUGGUCUGUAACUGACGCUGAGCUCGAAAGCAUGGGUAGCGAACAGGAUUAGAUACCCUGGUAGUCCAUGCCGUAAACGAUGAAUGCUAGGUGUUGGAGGGUUUCCGCCCUUCAGUGCCGCAGCUAACGCAUUAAGCAUUCCGCCUGGGGAGUACGACCGCAAGGUUGAAACUCAAAGGAAUUGACGGGGGCCCGCACAAGCGGUGGAGCAUGUGGUUUAAUUCGAAGCAACGCGAAGAACCUUACCAGGUCUUGACAUCUUUUGAUCACCUGAGAGAUCAGGUUUCCCCUUCGGGGGCAAAAUGACAGGUGGUGCAUGGUUGUCGUCAGCUCGUGUCGUGAGAUGUUGGGUUAAGUCCCGCAACGAGCGCAACCCUUAUGACUAGUUGCCAGCAUUUAGUUGGGCACUCUAGUAAGACUGCCGGUGACAAACCGGAGGAAGGUGGGGAUGACGUCAAAUCAUCAUGCCCCUUAUGACCUGGGCUACACACGUGCUACAAUGGAUGGUACAACGAGUUGCGAGACCGCGAGGUCAAGCUAAUCUCUUAAAGCCAUUCUCAGUUCGGACUGUAGGCUGCAACUCGCCUACACGAAGUCGGAAUCGCUAGUAAUCGCGGAUCAGCACGCCGCGGUGAAUACGUUCCCGGGCCUUGUACACACCGCCCGUCACACCAUGAGAGUUUGUAACACCCGAAGCCGGUGGCGUAACCCUUUUAGGGAGCGAGCCGUCUAAGGUGGGACAAAUGAUUAGGGUGAAGUCGUAACAAGGUAUCCGAAUC